rnacentral:rRNA from 1 species
AGCGGAAGGCCCUUCGGGCGUACUCCAGCGGCGAACGGGUGAGUAACACGUGAGCAACCUGCCCCAAGCUUUGGGAUAACCCUCGUAAACGGGGGCUAAUACCGAAUAUUACUGCUGGCCGCAUGGCUGGUGGUGGAAAGUUUUUCGGCUUGGGAUGGGCUCGCGGCCUAUCAGCUUGUUGGUGGGGUGAUGGCCUACCAAGGCGACGACGGGUAGCCGGCCUGAGACGGCGACCGGCCACACUGGGACUGACACAGUGUCCAUCUAUAUACGGGAGGCAGUCAGUGGCCGAAUAUUGCACAAUGGGCGGAAGCCUGAUGCAGCGACGCCGCGUGAGGGAUGACGGCCUUCGGGUUGUAAACCUCUUUCAGCAGGGACGAAGCGAGAGUGACGGUACCUGCAGAAGAAGCACCGGCCAACUACGUGCCAGCAGCCGCGGUAAGACGUAGGGUGCGAGCGUUGUCCGGAUUUAUUGGGCGUAAAGAGCUCGUAGGCGGCUUGUCGCGUCGACCGUGAAAACUUGGGGCUCAACCCCAAGCCUGCGGUCGAUACGGGCAGGCUAGAGUUCGGUAGGGGAGACUGGAAUUCCUGGUGUAGCGGUGAAAUGCGCAGAUAUCAGGAGGAACACCGGUGGCGAAGGCGGGUCUCUGGGCCGAUACUGACGCUGAGGAGCGAAAGCGUGGGGAGCGAACAGGAUUAGAUACCCUGGUAGUCCACGCUGUAAACGUUGGGCGCUAGGUGUGGGGGGCCUCUCCGGUUCCCUGUGCCGCAGCUAACGCAUUAAGCGCCCCGCCUGGGGAGUACGGCCGCAAGGCUAAAACUCAAAGGAAUUGACGGGGGCCCGCACAAGCGGCGGAGCAUGCGGAUUAAUUCGAUGCAACGCGAAGAACCUUACCUGGGUUUGACAUGGCCGCAAAACUCGCAGAGAUGUGAGGUCCUUCGGGGGCGGUCACAGGUGGUGCAUGGCUGUCGUCAGCUCGUGUCGUGAGAUGUUGGGUUAAGUCCCGCAACGAGCGCAACCCUCGUUCGAUGUUGCCAGCGCGUUAUGGCGGGGACUCAUCGAAGACUGCCGGGGUCAACUCGGAGGAAGGUGGGGAUGACGUCAAGUCAUCAUGCCCCUUAUGUCCAGGGCUUCACGCAUGCUACAAUGGCCGGUACAAUGGGCUGCGAUACCGUGAGGUGGAGCGAAUCCCAAAAAGCCGGUCUCAGUUCGGAUCGGGGUCUGCAACUCGACCCCGUGAAGUCGGAGUCGCUAGUAAUCGCAGAUCAGCAACGCUGCGGUGAAUACGUUCCCGGGCCUUGUACACACCGCCCGUCACGUCACGAAAGUCGGCAACACCCGAAGCCGGUGGCCC